GAUGGGCCCGCGCCCGAUUAGCUAGUUGGUGAGGUAACGGCCCACCAAGGCAACGAUCGGUAACCGGCCUGAGAGGGCGAUCGGUCACACCGGAACUGAGACACGGUCCGGACUCCUACGGGAGGCAGCAGUGGGGAAUCUUGCGCAAUGGGCGAAAGCCUGACGCAGCAACGCCGCGUGGAGGAUGAAGGCCCUUGGGUUGUAAACUCCUGUCGGCUGGGAAGAAAUCGUUUGUGGCUAAUACCCACAGACGUUGACUGUACCAGCAAAGGAAGCCCCGGCUAACUCUGUGCCAGCAGCCGCGGUAAUACAGAGGGGGCCAGCGUUAUUCGGAAUUAUUGGGCGUAAAGGGCGCGUAGGCGGCCAUGCGUGUCUUCCGUGAAAUCCCUCGGCUCAACCGAGGACGUGCGGAAGAAACUGCGAGGCUCGAGUCCGGAAGAGGGGGGCGGAAUUCCCAGUGUAGCGGUGAAAUGCGUAGAUAUUGGGAGG
rnacentral:rRNA from 1 species